GUAUGUACAUCUUAUUGAACUAAUUCAAGAUAAAAAACUACUGUAAAUUUACUAAUAGAUUCUACAAUUUAUUAAUAUAAAAGAAUUCUAUGUGGCUAAAAAAAGCCUCUUCAUAACCUAUACCUUGACCUGACUUAGAUAAUAAGAUGUUAAAAGGAAAAAAAAACUAAAAUUAAUCUUAACGGAGGUAUAUAAAGUAAAAGAAAAGGGAAAGUGUAACGAGGGAUACCGAUUAAUGAUCAAGCCCCUCUAAUUAGUUAUAAGACCGCCAAAAUCCUUAAGUUUAAGGAAAAUCCAUUAAUACUUUUAAUUGUGAUAAUAGGGUAUCUAAUCCUAGUCUAGUUAAAAAAUUUAAGAGAAAAGACAAAUAAAUAAAAAAGCAAGAGAAAAUUUCACCUUAUCUUACUAAAUAAAAUAAAAGAAAAUCAUUCUCAAUCCUUAGCUUAAUAAAGUAAUCGUAUA
rnacentral:rRNA from 1 species